GGGUUGUGAGGUUAAGCGACUAAGCGUACACGGUGGAUGCCCUGGCAGUCAGAGGCGAUGAAGGGCGUGCUAAUCUGCGAUAAGCGCCGGUAAGGUGAUAUGAACCGUUAUAACCGGCGAUACCCGAAUGGGGAAACCCAGUGUGAUUCGUCACACUAUCAUUAACUGAAUCCAUAGGUUAAUGAGGCGAACCGGGGGAACUGAAACAUCUAAGUACCCCGAGGAAAAGAAAUCAACCGAGAUUCCCCCAGUAGCGGCGAGCGAACGGGGAGGAGCCCAGAGCCUGAAUCAGCAUGUGUGUUAGUGGAAGUGUCUGGAAAGGCGCGCGAUACAGGGUGACAGCCCCGUACACAAAAGCGCAUGUGCUGUGAGCUCGAUGAGUAGGGCGGGACACGUGGUAUCCUGUCUGAAUAUGGGGGGACCAUCCUCCAAGGCUAAAUACUCCUGACUGACCGAUAGUGAACCAGUACCGUGAGGGAAAGGCGAAAAGAACCCCGGCGAGGGGAGUGAAAAAGAACCUGAAACCGUGUACGUACAAGCAGUGGGAGCCCCACCACCAAAGCAUUCUCUGGUGUUGAAGGCCCUGCAAAGCAGCAUCGCGGUGGCGGAGCGUCGUUUGCGACGCCCAACACACAAAACAAGCGGUGAGUGCUUUGGGGUGGGGUGACUGCGUACCUUUUGUAUAAUGGGUCAGCGACUUAUAUUCUGUAGCAAGGUUAACCGUAUAGGGGAGCCGCAGGGAAACCGAGUCUUAACCGGGCGUUAAGUUGCAGGGUAUAGACCCGAAACCCGGUGAUCUAGCCAUGGGCAGGUUGAAGGUUGGGUAACACUAACUGGAGGACCGAACCGACUAAUGUUGAAAAAUUAGCGGAUGACCUGUGGCUGGGGGUGAAAGGCCAAUCAAACCGGGAGAUAGCUGGUUCUCCCCGAAAGCUAUUUAGGUAGCGCCUCGUGAAUUCAUCUCCGGGGGUAGAGCACUGUUUCGGCUAGGGGGCCAUCCCGGCUUACCAACCCGAUGCAAACUGCGAAUACCGGAGAAUGUUAUCACGGGAGACACACGGCGGGUGCUAACGUCCGUCGUGAAGAGGGAAACAACCCAGACCGCCAGCUAAGGUCCCAAAGUCAUGGUUAAGUGGGAAACGAUGUGGGAAGGCCCAGACAGCCAGGAUGUUGGCUUAGAAGCAGCCAUCAUUUAAAGAAAGCGUAAUAGCUCACUGGUCGAGUCGGCCUGCGCGGAAGAUGUAACGGGGCUAAACCAUGCACCGAAGCUGCGGCAGCGACGCUUAUGCGUUGUUGGGUAGGGGAGCGUUCUGUAAGCCUGCGAAGGUGGCCUGUGAGGGUUGCUGGAGGUAUCAGAAGUGCGAAUGCUGACAUAAGUAACGAUAAAGCGGGUGAAAAGCCCGCUCGCCGGAAGACCAAGGGUUCCUGUCCAACGUUAAUCGGGGCAGGGUGAGUCGACCCCUAAGGCGAGGCCGAAAGGCGUAGUCGAUGGGAAACGGGUUAAUAUUCCCGUACUUGGUGUUACUGCGAAGGGGGACGGAGAAGGCUAUGUUGGCCGGGCGACGGUUGUCCCGGUUUAAGCGUGUAGGUGUGUGUUCCAGGUAAAUCCGGUUCACUUUAACACUGAGGCGUGACGACGAGGCACUACGGUGCUGAAGCAACAAAUGCCCUGCUUCCAGGAAAAGCCUCUAAGCAUCAGGUAACAUCAAAUCGUACCCCAAACCGACACAGGUGGUCAGGUAGAGAAUACCAAGGCGCUUGAGAGAACUCGGGUGAAGGAACUAGGCAAAAUGGUGCCGUAACUUCGGGAGAAGGCACGCUGACACGUAGGUGAAGUGAUUUACUCACGGAGCUGAAGUCAGUCGAAGAUACCAGCUGGCUGCAACUGUUUAUUAAAAACACAGCACUGUGCAAACACGAAAGUGGACGUAUACGGUGUGACGCCUGCCCGGUGCCGGAAGGUUAAUUGAUGGGGUCAGCGCAAGCGAAGCUCCUGAUCGAAGCCCCGGUAAACGGCGGCCGUAACUAUAACGGUCCUAAGGUAGCGAAAUUCCUUGUCGGGUAAGUUCCGACCUGCACGAAUGGCGUAAUGAUGGCCAGGCUGUCUCCACCCGAGACUCAGUGAAAUUGAACUCGCUGUGAAGAUGCAGUGUACCCGCGGCAAGACGGAAAGACCCCGUGAACCUUUACUAUAGCUUGACACUGAACAUUGAGCCUUGAUGUGUAGGAUAGGUGGGAGGCUUUGAAGCGUGGACGCCAGUCUGCGUGGAGCCGACCUUGAAAUACCACCCUUUAAUGUUUGAUGUUCUAACGUGGACCCGUGAUCCGGGUUGCGGACAGUGUCUGGUGGGUAGUUUGACUGGGGCGGUCUCCUCCUAAAGAGUAACGGAGGAGCACGAAGGUUGGCUAAUCCUGGUCGGACAUCAGGAGGUUAGUGCAAUGGCAUAAGCCAGCUUGACUGCGAGCGUGACGGCGCGAGCAGGUGCGAAAGCAGGUCAUAGUGAUCCGGUGGUUCUGAAUGGAAGGGCCAUCGCUCAACGGAUAAAAGGUACUCCGGGGAUAACAGGCUGAUACCGCCCAAGAGUUCAUAUCGACGGCGGUGUUUGGCACCUCGAUGUCGGCUCAUCACAUCCUGGGGCUGAAGUAGGUCCCAAGGGUAUGGCUGUUCGCCAUUUAAAGUGGUACGCGAGCUGGGUUUAGAACGUCGUGAGACAGUUCGGUCCCUAUCUGCCGUGGGCGCUGGAGAACUGAGGGGGGCUGCUCCUAGUACGAGAGGACCGGAGUGGACGCAUCACUGGUGUUCGGGUUGUCAUGCCAAUGGCACUGCCCGGUAGCUAAAUGCGGAAGAGAUAAGUGCUGAAAGCAUCUAAGCACGAAACUUGCCCCGAGAUGAGUUCUCCCUGAGACUUAGAGUCUCCUGAAGGAACGUUGAAGACGACGACGUUGAUAGGCCGGGUGUGUAAGCGCAGCGAUGCGUUGAGCUAACCGGUACUAAUGAACCGUGAGGCUUAACCUUACAACGCCGAAG
rnacentral:rRNA from 1 species